GAUGAACGCUGGCGGCGUGCCUAAUACAUGCAAGUCGAGCGAACAGACGAGGAGCUUGCUCCUCUGACGUUAGCGGCGGACGGGUGAGUAACACGUGGAUAACCUACCUAUAAGACUGGGAUAACUUCGGGAAACCGGAGCUAAUACCGGAUAACAUGUUGAACCGCAUGGUUCAACAGUGAAAGACGGUCUUGCUGUCACUUAUAGAUGGAUCCGCGCCGCAUUAGCUAGUUGGUAAGGUAACGGCUUACCAAGGCAACGAUGCGUAGCCGACCUGAGAGGGUGAUCGGCCACACUGGAACUGAGACACGGUCCAGACUCCUACGGGAGGCAGCAGUAGGGAAUCUUCCGCAAUGGGCGAAAGCCUGACGGAGCAACGCCGCGUGAGUGAAGAAGGUCUUCGGAUCGUAAAACUCUGUUAUUAGGGAAGAACAAAUGUGUAAGUAACUAUGCACGUCUUGACGGUACCUAAGCAGAAAGCCACGGCUAACUACGU
rnacentral:rRNA from 1 species